rnacentral:tRNA from 1 species
ACUAUUUUGUCAGAUUAAUGUAUUGAAUUUAGAAUUCAUUUAUGUGAAUUGUUUCACAAAUAGUA